rnacentral:rRNA from 1 species
UGGGGAAUAUUGCACAAUGGAGGGAACUCUGAUGCAGCGACGCCGCGUGAACGAAGAAGGCUUUCGAGUCGUAAAGUUCUUUUAUAUGGGAAGAUAAUGACGGUACCAUAAGAAAAAGCCCCGGCUAACUACGUGCCAGCAGCCGCGGUAAUACGUAGGGGGCUAGCGUUUUCCGGAAUCACUGGGCGUAAAGGGUUCGCAGGCGGAAAUGCAAGUCAGGUGUAAAAGGCAGUAGCUUAACUACGGUAAGCAUUUGAAACUGCAUAUCUUGAGAAGAGUAGAGGUAAGUGGAAUUUUUAGUGUAGCGGUGAAAUGCGUAGAUAUUAAAAAGAAUACCGGUGGCGAAGGCGACUUACUGGGCUCAUUCUGACGCUGAGGAACGAAAGCGUGGGUAGCAAACAGG